rnacentral:misc_RNA from 1 species
AGAAAAUAUGUGUAUGCAUGUACAUUCUCAUAUGAAUAUCUAUAUGCAUGUAUAUAAAGUUGUUGAGUUAAUUCUAGCUUCUGUUUGGAUUUCAACUGAAUGACUUCUACUUGCUGCUGCCUUACAAAUAGGUUUUCCUAUUCUAAACAAUUUCAAGUUGUGUGUAAUUUGUGAAUGCUAAAUUCCUCAUGAUUCUUUUGUUCUGUACUCCUAUUAAGUGAGAACCAAUAUACCUUCUUAUGAAUAAUGUGUACAACUUUUAAGCUAAGAUCUCAACUGCAUUCUAAAUGAAGCCAAAAUAUGCAUUUUUUGCAGGCUUUGCUCAAAUGGGCUUCCGAGUGAUGUCAUUGUGGAAGUUGGAGAAAUGUCAUUUCAUCUCCACAAGUUUCCAUUGCUUUCCAGAAGUAUAGUGCUAGAAGAUCUAAUUGGACAAUGUUGUGGUGAGGAUGGGAAAAGGUGUCUUCUGCGACUUGAUGAUAUACCUGGUGGAGCUAAAACCUUCUUGCUUGUAGCCAAAUUCUGCUAUGGAGUAAAAAUAGAACUCUCUGCUCUGAAUAUAGUCAGUCUUAGAUGUGCUGCCGAGUAUCUUCAAAUGAGUGAAGACCAUGGAGAGGGAAAUCUCAUCACACAAACAGAAAUUUUUCUCAAUGAAAUCUUUGGCAACUGGAGGGACUCACUUAAAGCUCUUGAAACCUGUGAAGAGGUUUUCUCACAUGCAGAAGAGAUUCAUAUUGUUUCAAGAUGCAUCAAUUCCCUGGCAAUGAAAGCUUGUGCAGAUCCAAGUUUAUUCAGUUGGCCCAUGUCAGGAUGCGAAAAUGUAAAGAGCCCAGAAGGUACUGUAUUUUGGAAUGGGAUACGUACUUCUGCUAAGCCACAACCUGUGGGUGAGGAUUGGUGGUAUGAUGAUGUCUCAUUCCUUAGCUUACCUUUGUUCAAAAGGCUGCUUCUGGCAGUUGGUUCAAAUGGCAUGAAACCGGAGAAGGUUGUUGGAUCAUUAAUGUAUUAUGCAAGGAGACAUCUUCCUUUGUUGGGUAGGCAAUCAAGCAUCGAGAGUGGUAACCAUGCUACUCCUGGAUCAACUAUUUCAACUGCAGCUGAUGCUGAUCAAAGGAAUCUCCUUGAAGAAUUGGUGGAAUUAUUACCUGAUCAAAAGGGUGUCACACCCAGCAAGUUCCUUCUUAGGCUUCUGCGAACAGCCAUGAUUUUGCAUGCCAGUCCAUCAUGUCGAGAGAACUUAGAGAAAAGGAUUGGGUCUCAGUUGGAUCAAGCAGCUCUUGAAGAUAUAAUGAUACCAAACAUUGGGUACUCAAUUGAAACUCUAUAUGAUAUUGACUGUGUUCAGAGGAUUCUUGAUCAU